rnacentral:lncRNA from 1 species
GGAUAGGGCAGCAUGACCCACUAUUAUUUCCAUCAUUUAUCAAAGAUAAUCUCUCUCUCUCUCUCUUUUUUUUUUUAAGAGAUGGGGUCUCACUGUUGCCCAGGCUGGUCUCAAACUCCCGGGCUCAGGGGAUCCUCCUGCCUCAGCCUUCUGAGUAGCUGGGAUUACAGGCACUGCCAAGGAGAAAGGCUCAUGAGUCUUUGGGGUGGACACAGCUCGUCCUUGUCAUCACCCACUGAUUCUUU